UACGGAGGGUGCAAGCGUUGUUCGGAAUUAUUGGGCGUAAAGGGCAGGUAGGUGGUCUUGAAAGUCUGCUGUGAAAUCCCCGAGCUUAACUUGGGAAGUGCGGCAGAUACUCCAAGACUAGAGUACUGGAGGGGUUCGUGGAAUUCCCGGUGUAACGGUGAAAUGCGUAGAUAUCGGGAGGAACACCAGAGGCGAAGGCGGCGAACUGGACAGUAACUGACACUCAACUGCGAAAGCGUGGGGAGCAAACAGG
rnacentral:rRNA from 1 species